GAAAAGGAAAGGAUUUAUAUUGCAAAAAAACCCUCACCGCAAACACACGCGUGUCAUCGGGGCAGCAAACCGGAUCGGGUCGGGCGUGACUAGACGAUGUCGUUUUUGAGCCAUUGAAACGGGCUUGAAACGGCGUCGUAUUCGACCCUUUAAAAAGACCGAAAACUAAAUCAUUCGACCAAACAAACCCUAGCCUCCCCUUUUCUCCAACCGAACUAAGCCAAACCCCUUUGGCCAUGGCCCCAUCGCAACCUACAACCGACCGAUUUACUGCCCCGUGAUUCCUCCUCCACCUUCGACUUCAACGAGGCAAGGAAGAAUUAAUGGCGGAUUCACGAGGUAAGGCUUCAUUUUUCUCUUUUCUUUUAUUUUUAGAUGCAAAGAAUGAAAAAGAAAAUCAGAGGGAGCAGAUCAAGAGAGAAAAAACGUAAUAAACCCCAGAGAUUCAAAACAGGAAAUCACCUUGCUCUGUUUUUUUUUGCUUUCUAUUGCUUCUGUAUGCCUCCAGAAGACUUUACAAUCGCAAAACGAAAGGCUUUAUAGCCGAGUGUUCCAAAAAAGAAUAAAAAUAAAUUACAAUUUUUUCUUUUUCUCUUUGUUUUCGUGUUGCUGCUGUUGUUUUUUUGGUUUCUUCGCAGGUACGGGGUGCGUUGGAAUCUUACAGAGGCUGUGCUGGCGCUUGGCGUGAGGCGUACGAAGGCGUGCGUGGUGGUCGUACGACGCGAGGGCUGGGGCUCGUCUGCGGUUGCGGCGCAAAAGUGAGGAGGAAACCCUAAGGUUUCUUUUCUCAAAACAUUGGGCCUAUCGGGCUUGUAAUUUGGGUCGGUUUUUGAUAUUGGGCUGUAGGGUAUUAGUUAUGUAGUUGGGUUAUGUAAUUAGACAUCCAAGGACUAUUAAUUAUUUGGGUUUUUGUUUAUUUAUUUAGGGUUUCAGAGGGGCCAGGCAAAUUGGCCUGUUUACAUAUAUCUAAUUUAAUUAUUAAUUAAAAUUAACAUGAUUAUAAGUAAUGCCAACAUCUGUCCAUCCACUAUCAAUAAAAAUGGCUAAAUUAUCAUUUUAGCCCCUAAUCGAUUAAUGUAUUGUCAUUAGAAAAAAAAGAAAUUCAUAAUGGUCAACUUUUAC
rnacentral:lncRNA from 1 species